UCAGUUUAGUAUUUCAUAUUUGUUGAGGAAAAAAAAAGGGAAUAGCCAGGAGGUGCUAAACAGAAAUAUUUAUAACUGAAGGGAGUAAUGAUAUUCUUCAUAUCUUUUGUGUAGCAGGUUCGAUAUUCAUUCACUAUUACAUUGAUGAAAACAUAUGCCCAUCAUCUUGAGAAAAAAAAAUCAUAGCGUAUGCCUGAUAAGUCCAUCAUGUAAAAGAUCAUACGUCUUAAAAUAUAUUAUUCCCUCCGUUUUUAAAUAUUUAAUGCCAUUGGUUUCUUAAACAUGUUUAACCGUUCAUCUUAUUAAAAAAAUUUAAGUAAUUAUUAAUUCGUUUCUAUCAUUUGAUUUAUUGUUAAAUAUACUUAUAUAUAUAUAUAUAUUUCACAAAAGUUUUCGAAUAAGAUGAAUGGUUAAGCAUGUACCAAAAAAUCAACCGUGUCAAAUAUUUAGAAACAUAGAGACUAUAUUUUAGGGCGGACGGAGUGCACUCACCUUCCAUGGCAACCUGCAGGUGCACCAUGGCGUCGACGGUGUAGAAGGAGAAGACCUCAAACCGGAGGCCGCAGCGCUCGCCGAUGACCUUCCCUCCCGGCGAACUGGCGGCGAAGACC
rnacentral:lncRNA from 1 species